GGGCUGGGGCAUCCUGGUGGCACCCACAGGAGCCUGUGGGGCUGGGGACAGGAAUGAGCCGCCCCCUCCCAUGACAGCUGUCCCCUGGCAUCCCUGGCGCGCCUGUACCGGGCAGCUGUGGGCCGGGUGGGGUCCCUGCAGCUCCCAGCUUGCAGCCUGCUGCUCCAGACUUUGGAAGUGGGAGCCAGGAAAGGAGGACCUGGUCUCCUCUGCUGAGAGCUGAAGCUGCCAAUAACCAGACUGUGGCUGGGAGUGGAAGGAGAGGGUGUCUUUGCUGAGUGGAUCACAGAUGUGUACCUUGUUCUCACUCCUGAGCUGGACCUGGACAUCUGGAUUCAGUCUUUCUUGUCCCCUGUUUUGGCAGCAGCACUAAAGCAAUUCCACCAGACCAAAGAUGAGCUGCUGUUCUUCAUACUAUGAAAACUGCAUGCUGGACUCCACUUUCCAUUUGUGCUCCACUUAACAGCUCAAAGCAGCUUCCCCUGUAUGGCGUAGAAGAGGAAUUUCAAAUCUUAGAUGAAUAUUCAAUGGACAAAAUACAUGAAACUUCAGAUUACACACUAAAAAAAGGCCAAGAGUUUGUUAAAACACUCAGUUUUAAAAAGGAAAGCACAUGCCUUGCUAGGAUUCCUAUCAUUCCGAAUAAAUUGAGCCCAAAUUUGGA